rnacentral:rRNA from 1 species
GGGCCCGCACAAGCGGUGGAGUAUGUGGUUUAAUUCGAUGCAACGCGAAGAACCUUACCAGGGUUUGACAUCCUGCGAAUCUCUUGGAAACGAGAGAGUGCCUUCGGGAGCGCAGUGACAGGUGGUGCAUGGCUGUCGUCAGCUCGUGUCGUGAGAUGUUGGGUUAAGUCCCGCAACGAGCGCAACCCACGUCUUUAGUUGCCAGCAUUCAGUUGGGCACUCUAGAGAGACCGCCGGUGAUAAACCGGAGGAAGGUGAGGAUGACGUCAAGUCAGCAUGCCCCUUAUGUCCUGGGCUACACACGUGCUACAAUGGUUGAGACAACAAGCUGCAAACUCGCGAGGGUAAGCAAAUCUUUUAAACUCAAUCUCAGUUCGGAUUGCAGGCUGCAACUCGCCUGCAUGAAGCUGGAAUCGCUAGUAAUCG